GACAAAUGGAGAGGAAAGAAUACCAGUGGAGAACAAGAAGAAACGAAAAGGAGAGGAGAACAGCCGGCCACCAUGCUUCAGUUAUCAUCUUCGUUCCUGCACUGAGCUUGCACUUUUCAAAUUC